UCCGAGCGCAGCCAUGGCCUUGGCGGUAUUGAGGACGUCCUCGCCCUCCAAAAGCCCGGAAAUCCGGGUUUCACCCACAGCCAACGCGCCCAGAAUCAGGGCCCGGUGAGAGAUCGAUUUGUCGCCCGGAACGCGAACGCGGCCGCUGAGAGGUCCCGUAGCCCGCGAUUCCAGCGGGGUUGGUUGGUUGGAAUGGGACAAGAUUGCGUUUCCUCAAUGCAGAGCGGCUCCU
rnacentral:misc_RNA from 1 species